rnacentral:lncRNA from 1 species
UUGGGCCCUCCUUAUAUUUAUACUUGGUCUACUAUUGAUGUUGACAGAUAUACAUGACCAGCAUAGAUAAACUAAAGUGAAAAUUUUGAGAGAUUUUUUUUUAUGCUUUUCACUUUCACCUAUUUGUUUAAUUCUUUCGUCGCCAGGUGUUGAAAAAAGCUCUGUUGUCACGCCCCGGGGUCCCUUUUCAGUUUAAAACAAAGCGAAAAAGCGUCUGAAAAUUUUUUUUUUGAAAAACUUGACCCCAGAGUAUGCCAGAUCCGCCACAAAUACAGGGAAUCCACUGUUCACACGGACAGAGUCUCCCCUAUAUUUGCACGGCGUCGGUCAAAUACACAGUACAACCAGGAUACAACCACGACCAGAUGAAUAUAAAGAUAACUAUACAUUCAUACAUUCACCAUUCACAUCACAAUUUUACAUUCAAGGUUUAAACAGAAAUCCACAAAAAUCUUUUGAAAACUGUUUCCUACACAGAAACUUUUAUUCUUUUAAAAACGCUACCACGAGGGGUAGAAAACCUUUUAUUUUGACAAAAUCCAGAAAUCCACAUUUUCAAAUGUAAAUUAAUACUGAACCACAUAAACUAACUAAACUAUAUAUCAAUAGAAAUUCCAAGGAUAAUAACUAAAUCGAAAUAACCUGGGUCGGAAGCUCUAUCGACCGCUACACACGUACCUCACGUCUCGUCCCACUACUCAUCGCCCGCGAUACCUGAAAAAUG